GACCCUGACAAAUAUUUACCAGUGUCUCUGGGUUUACAGAAACCUUGCUCCAGCUUCAGCUUUGAAGUGGAGUUCAAAGCACCAGCAACUCCCACAUCUUGGGGGGACUGAGCUCACGCCAGCGUGCAAAAAUGCUGCUCUGCCAGGAGGGGAACUGUGUCCCACCUCUUCCUUAGAGGACACCCAGCACAGCUCUGACAUCUUCCAUCAUCUCACAGGGUCCUGCUUGUCUCCCCACACCAAGGUAGAGUCUUAGCAGCAGGAUCACAACCUUCAUCAUCCCCCUCCUCCUUGGACUGUUGGUGAACCCUCUUCUCUGUGCACUGUUGACCACCCUCCACAUUUCCCUCCCACCAUGGGGAAUGGUGGCCAGCUCCUCAGAAGAACAUUGGCCUUGGCUGGUGCAGAUGGCAGCAAAUACAUGCCCAGAAGUAGAGAUUUACUCUAACCCUGCAGGACACCUGGGCCCAGCUGCGCUUUGCUCACUGCACUUGCAAGAAUCUGUGAUUUACAGAGAUAAUCCUCAGACAUUUCAAGCUGGGCUGAAGAGAGACACAUUUCCAGCCCAUGCCAUCAAUUCUAUUCAUCUGGAACAGGUGCCAGGCUUAUGAAAUCCUCCUGCCUGGUGGUAGACUCCACAUGCUUCAUUAGCAGCCAGCCGAGCAGCCACCUCCAGCUCGUCGGCAUUGCAAACAGCCUGGGGAUCAGAGCCCCAAACCUGGGAAGCAAAGGAGGCAAGGAUUCAAAGGGAAAGGGGGAUUUAGGCAGACAAUGCCAGGCUCUGUGAAACCUGCUCCCAGCCCCUCUUGUCCUCCCUCGUUCCAGUGAACGCAGCUGCCUGUCCUUGCUAAUUCAGGGGUACAAUGCUGUGCUGGAAGUGCUAGACGUGGCCCUGGCAGUCUCAUUAAAAACAACAUCUAAUAAAUUGCCAAAUGCCAUUUACCCUGGAUAACCUCCUUAGCUGAGACUCUCUGUAUCUCCUGGAGCUGCUUUGAUGUCUCCUCCUGCUCUUUCAGCCCAGAUGUUGUCACAGAUUUGCUGACAAUGGCUGCAAACUGGCUUUGAAACCUGCUCUGGCAAGAAAUACUUUCCCAUCCUGUCUCAGAUGGGGUCUGCUAUUUUUCUUCCCCCCCCUCCCUCCCCACCACAUUUUUCUUACU